rnacentral:tRNA from 1 species
AGAGACUUAGGAUAGCUAGACCGAAGGCCUUCAAAGCCUUAAGCGGGAGUGGAACCCUCCCAGUCUCUG